rnacentral:sRNA from 2 species
CUUAGUACUCAAUACUCUGAUGAUUUACUAUUAAAUUCUUUAUCUAUCACUGUCAAUCUAUCUAUCACUGUUAAUUUAUACCACUGUUAAUCUAUCUAUCACUGUUAAUUUAUUGCUGCUGCUAAUCUAUCUACUGCUGUCAAUCUAUCUAUUACUAUCAAUUUAUCUACUACUGCUAAUCUAUUGCUGCUAAUUUAUCACUGCUAAUCUAUUGCUGCUAAUCUAUCUAUUACUGUUAAUCUAUUACUAUCAAUCUAUCUAUCACUGUUAAUCUAUCUAUUACUGUCAAUCUAUCUACCACUAUCAAUCUAUCUAUUAUUGUUAAUCUAUCACUGCUAAUCUAUUGCUGCUAAUCUAUUGCUGCUAAUCUAUCUAUUACUAUUAAUCUAUUACUAUCAAUCUAUCUACUGC